rnacentral:rRNA from 1 species
CGGACGGGUGAGUAACACGUGAGAAUCUGGCUUCUGGAUGGGGACAACAGUGGGAAACCGCUGCUAAUACCCAAUGAGCCGCAGGUAAAGAUUUAUCGCCAGAAAAUGAGCUCGCGUCCGAUUAGUUAGUUGGUAGAGUAACAGCCUACCAAGACAGCGAUCGGUAGCUGGUCUGAGAGGAUGAGCAGCCACACUGGGACUGAGACACGGCCCAG